rnacentral:rRNA from 1 species
AAUGGGGGAAACCCUGACGCAGCAACGCCGCGUGGGUGAUGAAGGCCUUCGGGUCGUAAAGCCCUGUUGGGAGGGAAGAAAUGAUUGAGGGUUAAUACCUCUUGAUCUUGACGGUACCUCCGAAGGAAGCACCGGCUAACUCCGUGCCAGCAGCCGCGGUAAUACGGAGGGUGCAAGCGUUGUUCGGAAUUAUUGGGCGUAAAGCGCGUGUAGGCGGUCUUUUAAGUCUGAUGUGAAAGCCCCGGGCUCAACCUGGGAAGUGCAUUGGAAACUGGGAGACGUGAGUACGGGAGAGGAGAGUGGAAUUCCUAGUGUAGGAGUGAAAUCCGUAGAUAUUAGGAAGAACACCAGUGGCGAAGGCGGAUUACUGGACGACAACUGACGCUGAGGCUCGAAAGCGUGGGGAGCAAA